AUGGUGAAUUCCUGGGUGAUCUCUGAUGAACCUGAUCAGGUCGUUUGGAAUCUUGGUAAAAACAAACGCUUCACCCCCAAAUCCAUGUAUAAGCACCUGGAAAGCCGCCUUGCUGGAUGUAAUUAUAGGUGGAUCUGGAAGGCUAAGCUACCUCUCAAGAUCCAAAUUUUCCUCUGGCAAUUAUUUCAAAAUGCGGUGCUGACUCGAGAUGUCAUGAAAAAACGUAAUUGGGCUGGCAACCCGAAGUGUUCCUUCUGCCAGAACAGGGAAACUUCCCAACAUCUCUUCUUCACCUGUCCGGUUGCGAGGGUGGUUUGGAGAACGGUUGGUUGCGUGUUCGGCACAGAUUUGUGCCCUAACAAUCUUUGGCAGUAUUUCUCUUGGUGCUAUGUGUAUUGGCCUGAUGGGGCUAGGUUUUAUACCUUUGGCUUGACUGCGAUCUGCUGGGCCAUGUGGUUAUGUCGUAACAGGGCCACCUUCGAGGGCAAAAUUUUGAGAACUCCUUUUGAUGUAGUCUUCUCUGCUUGUGGUUACAUGAAUUACUGGGCAGGUCUUAUGGUGGGAGCCGAACGAGAAGCGAUGGAGCGCGGUGCCAAGAUGCUCAAGACUAAUGCAGCUGCCAUGAUGAGGAUUUGUGCAGCUCCAGCGGGAUCAGCAAUGGACUGA
rnacentral:rRNA from 1 species